rnacentral:rRNA from 1 species
CUCAGUAACACGUGGAUAACCUACCCUUUAGGACUGGAAUAACCCCGGGAAACUGGGGAUAAUACCGGAUAGAUCAGGGAUGCUGGAAUGCACCUUGAUCCAAAGCCCCGGCGCCUAAGGAUGGGUCUGCGGCCUAUCAGGUUGUAGUGGGUGUAACGUACCUACUAGCCAACGACGGGUACGGGUUGUGAGAGCAAGAGCCCGGAGAUGGAUUCUGAGACACGAAUCCAGGCCCUACGGGGUGCAGCGGGCGCGGAACCUUUACAAUGUGCGAAAGCAUGAUAAGGGGACUCCGAGUGCCAGCAUCUAAUGCUGGCUGUCCUUGUGCCUAAAAAGCGCAAGAUAGCAAGGGCCGGGUAAGACCGGUGCCAGCCGCCGCGGUAACACCGGCGGCCCGAGUGGUAGCCGCUAUUAUUGGGUCUAAAGGGUCCGUAGCCGGUUCGGUAAGUCCUUUGGGAAAUCUGGUUGCUUAACAAUCAGACUGCCAAGGGAUACUGCUGAACUUGAGACCGGGAGAGGUAAGAGGUACUUCAGGGGUAGGAGUGAAAUCUUGUGAUCCCUGGGGGACCAUCUGUGGCGAAGGCGUCUUACCAGAACGGGUCUGACGGUGAGGGACGAAAGCUGGGGGCGCAAACCGGAUUAGAUACCCGGGUAGUCCCAGCCGUAAACGAUGCUCGCUAUGUGUCAGGUACGGUGCGACCGUAUCUGGUGCCGUAGGGAAGCCGUGAAGCGAGCCACCUGGGAAGUACGGUCGCAAGACUGAAACUUAAA